rnacentral:lncRNA from 1 species
ACAUCAAAACGAUAUAAAUACAUAAAAAAUAAGUUCAAACAAAAUUAAAAUUAAAAUUUUUAGUAAACACCAUUUCACCCGCAUUCCCCAACACACAAUACCUAUCCUAACUUAUCGGAGAGGAUCCAUCAUCACAGCAGCAUAUUCAACAAAUUCAGAUGGAAAGAAGUAAAUCAACGUCCAAAUCACAGGAUACUGGUACCGAUGCAUCAUCCAACUUCCAGGAAUCUUCGUUUUGUCUGCCUAAAACACAGUAAACAGCCAUAUUCUUUUUCAAAAUCAUCCUCUUUUUUCAUACAAGACGCACGCACAGCGAGCAUUGAAGGGAAAACGUUGGCAGCACAAACAACUGGUGUGUUUCACGUUGACAAUAGAAACAACAGAUUUGCAGAACUCAAUGAUGAUUGUGCAGAAAAGAAGAAGAAAAGACGAUAAAGAUCGAUCAACUCCUGUCAAAUCCAUAAAAAAACAACAAGAAUCCACCAUUGUAUCUACUCGACUCUUUCCAGGAACGUUCUUCGAUUGAAAAUCUUUGAACCCAACAGACAAG